AGUGAACGCUGGCGGCAGGCUUAACACAUGCAAGUCGAGCGAGCGGCGGACGGGUGAGUAAUGUCUGGGAAACUGCCUGAUGGAGGGGGAUAACUACUGGAAACGGUAGCUAAUACCGCAUACCAUCAGAUGUGCCCAGAUGGGAUUAGCUAGUUGGUGGGGUAAAGGCAUACAAAGGCGACGAUCCGUAACUGGUCUGAGAGGAUGAUUAGCCACACUGGAACUGAGACACGGUCCAGACUCCUACGGGAGGCAGCAGUGGGGAAUAUUGGACAAUGGGCGAAAGCCUGAUCCAGCCAUGCCGCGUGUGUGAAGAAGGUCUUCGGAUUGUAAAGCACUUUAAGUUGGGAGGCGUUACCAACAGAAUAAGCACCGGCUAACUCCGUGCCAGCAGCCGCGGUAAUAC
rnacentral:rRNA from 1 species